GCACUUCGGCAGCACGUAUACUAAAAUUGGAAUGAUUCAGAUAAGAUUAGCGUGACCCCCGCACAAGGAUGACACACAAAUUUGUGAAACAUUGCUUAUUUUU